GACGUAGGGCGCGAGCGUUGUCCGGAUUUAUUGGGCGUAAAGAGCUCGUAGGCGGCUUGUCGCGUCGAAUGUGAAAUCUCAGGGCUCAACUCUGACAUUGCAUUCGAUACGGGCAGGCUCGAGUUCGGUAGGGGAGACUGGAGUUCCUGGUGUAGCGGUGAAAUGCGCAGAUAUCAGGAGGAACACCGGUGGCGAAGGCGGGUCUCUGGGCCGAUACUGACGCUGAGGAGCGAAAGCGUGGGGAGCGAUCCGG
rnacentral:rRNA from 1 species